AUCGUUAAGUGAGGAACCCUUUAUCGGGCCCGUUCGAUUAAAUAUAUCCAUUAGUACCUGGAAAAAAGAAUAAAGGAUUAAUAUAGAAAAUUAAUACUUGUAGGUCAAAAAAGAAAUCAAGUUAAUGAAAUGCUAUAUUCAAACGAAAUAUAAUUAUCACAUAUUAUACUUUACAGUAAUAAAGUACUAUUUUUAAUAUAUCGUAAUAUAAAGAGCACGAUUAUCGUUUGACGUUAACUGUGAAUUUUAAAGGCUAAUUUAGUAUACAGCACCUUUUGGAAUGCUAAUGGAAUGAUUGAUACAUCAAAACCUUUUUUAUCUGCUGUUUUACAUGAUCGUGAAAUGUGUGUAAAAAUUUUUAGAAUAUUUUUCGAGUAAUACAUAAAUACAUGAUAAACAGAUAAUUUUAUAAUUCUUUUUUAUAAGUCCAUUACCAAAAAAUACAG